CGUGGGCGUUGGAUGAUUGAGGGGAGCUGCUCCUAGUACGAGAGGACCGGAGUGGACGAACCGCUGGUGUUCGGGUUGUGUCGCCAGACGCAUUGCCCGGUAGCUAAGUUCGGCACAGAUAAGCGCUGAAAGCAUCUAAGCGCGAAGCUGGCCCCGAGAUGAGUCAUCCCUAGAGCUUCGAGCUCUCUAAAGGGUUGUYSUAGACKASRACGUUGAUAGGCAGGGUGUGUAAGCGCUGUGAGGCGUUGAGCUAACCUGUACUAAUUGCCCGUGCGGCUUAACCAUACAACACCCAAG
rnacentral:rRNA from 2 species